rnacentral:lncRNA from 1 species
UUUGUGAUUCUUUCUUCUUUCCAAAAGAAUAAAGAUUCGAACAUUUCGCCUCUAUACAAUUUUAAUAAGAAGGUGUUGGAUCCGGAUCUAACGAUCCAAAGCAUCCAUCUAUGACCAACUCGUAUUUUAUGUUUUUGAGGUAUCACAACUCAGUUGGGAUUAGUCACUACCUUGCAACCUUUGGGGUUUUAAGCAUCAUUAUAUUCAAAACAGUUAACACUAAUAAAGAACAAUGUUUUGCCAAACAAAACAUUCAUCCAUCUCUACUAUAGUGACGGAAUUAAGUUCCUUAAAAUUGGAAUGUAAAGACAAUCUUUGGUUUUUCCAAUUUCUUUGGUAGUUCAUAUGGGGAAGUAAGUACUAUCUGCUUUCGCAAAGAUCUUUAUUUUAUUCACAUUCCGAAUGUGAAGCACCUUUUUCUUCUCUCAUAUAUCUUCUACUUUUUAUUAGUCACACUUUUACAACGAUUGUAAAACAUAGUUACUAAUACGGAAUCAAGCAUUCAAGUAGAAGAACCAACUAUUUUGAACCAUUCAAGAACAAUUUACAACACUUUCGAAAGGUGUGUUCUUUGACACUUGCAAGACAUUUCUUGCAAAUACCCCUUCCAAUGUCCAUCAUUUCAUAAAGAAAGUUUGUUCCCUUGGAGUUAUUUCGCUUUCUUCAUUUGACUUCUCCUUUGUCUACAAUAGUCAUGGUCCCUAAACUCCCACUGUCUCUCUUGAAACUUAUUUCAAUUGUGUUAUACACAUCAAACGAUUUGGAGAGCGUGUGGUUAUUGUUCACUAUAUAGUUUACAAUAAACUUAGUGAACCAUUUGGAUAGGGACACAAAGGUGAAGUCCUUGCCUAGUUUCCGCUUCUAGAAGUGGUGUAACACUUUAACACUCAAUGAUUCAAAAUCAUCAUAAGUCCAUGUUGAUGGACUAUUUUUGUCAACCAACCAUUAUGUUCUAAACAUAAUUACAAACUUUCAAGAGUUGUUCAAGGCAACUCUCAUUUCUUCAUACAACAAUUUGUAAGUGAAGGAUUAUGGCACAUAAAGUGUCCAUGCCUUUGUGCUUUCUUCUUAAGUUCCUUGUUCAUGUAACAAAGAAACAAGCACUAAUGUUUGUGUUAGUUAAGGGUUGUUCAAAGCAACUCUUAUUUCUUCAUACAACGAUUUGUAAUUGAAGAAUUAUGACUUUAAAAGUGUUGUCCUCUUUAUGAUAGACUUAUCUAACAUGUUCUUCCAAUGGUACAUUAUCAAUAGGAAGAUUGUGAGGAUGAGACUACUUAGGUACAUUUACAAUCCAUUUAAGACAAUCUUUGGGAUUGUUGUACCAAGUCCGGAAACUAAAGCAUUCGGU